AGAUUACGGAACACAAACUUAAUGAUUGAAAUUACCUAGAAUAGAGUAAGACUAUCAGAGUUUAUUUGUGAAGUAUCGAUAAAUAUGAUCACCUUACUAAGGAUCCACUCAUUGAUAAAACAAGACAAGCUUGGCCCAAGAAGGACGUUCGAUUGUUUUUGUAACUUAAAAAUUCGAUUCACAGUGAGGUAAUCAGUCUAAUUAAUCACUGCAAAAUUGUAAGGGAAUUGAUAGAUUAUUGGGAUUUUUAGUAUUUCGAUAAAGGGAAUAUUUUCCGUAUUUAUAAUGUGUAUAAAGUAUUUUAUCGUACUGAGAAACAUGAAAGGUCUCUUACGGCCUUUUUUUAUGGAUUUUAAAUGAAUAUAUGAAAAGCUUAAUGUUUUGAUGCCUUUUAGCCCUAAUAUGAAAGUUCAGCAGGCACAACGAAAGCAAAUGACUAUUAUGAGUUUCCUUGCAAGUUUAUGAGACUGUUAAAUCACAGAUUCUAUCUAGCUAUGAAGUUUCGUCCCUACAUGAUACGUUCACAUGUGUCAUUCGUAUAGAAAGUACUUAGUUUUCACAACCACCUGUCAAUGGUGCUCUUGUUAGCUACAAUACAAAUGGACAACAGGGUAGUAGAGGAGGAACCAAACGAGGAGGUGUAAGCAAUAGAAGUAAUCAGCGUAA
rnacentral:misc_RNA from 1 species